rnacentral:tRNA from 1 species
GGUGAUGUGGCUCGAUGGUUGAGCAUCUGUUUUGCAUGAUGGAGAUCCCAGGUUUGGUCCCUGGCAUGACCA